ACUAGCAGUAAGAGUUUGAUCAUGGCUCAGAACGAACGCUGGCGGCAUGCCUAACACAUGCAAGUCGAACGAGACCUUCGGGUCUAGUGGCGCACGGGUGCGUAACGCGUGGGAAUCUGCCCUUGGGUUCGGGAUAACAGUUGGAAACGACUGCUAAUACCGGAUGAUGACUUCGGUCCAAAGAUUUAUCGCCCAGGGAUGAGCCCGCGUCGGAUUAGCUAGUUGGUGAGGUAAAGGCUCACCAAGGCGACGAUCCGUAGCUGGUCUGAGAGGAUGAUCAGCCACACUGGGACUGAGACACGGCCCAGACUCCUACGGGAGGCAGCAGUGGGGAAUAUUGGACAAUGGGCGCAAGCCUGAUCCAGCCAUGCCGCGUGGGUGAAGAAGGCCCUAGGGUUGUAAACCCCUUUCAGCGGGGAAGAUAAUGACGGUACCCGCAGAAGAAGCCCCGGCUAACUCCGUGCCAGCAGCCGCGGUAAUAC
rnacentral:rRNA from 1 species